GACGAACGCUGGCGGCGUGCCUAAUACAUGCAAGUCGAACGCUGAAGAGAGGAGCUUACUCUUCUUGGAUGAGUUGCGAACGGGUGAGUAACGCGUAGGUAACCUGCCUUGUAGCGGGGGAUAACUAUUGGAAACGAUAGCUAAUACCGCAUAACAAUGGAUGACACAUGUCAUUUAUUUGAAAGGGGCAAUUGCUCCACUACAAGAUGGACCUGCGUUGUAUUAGCUAGUAGGUGAGGUAAUGGCUCACCUAGGCGACGAUACAUAGCCGACCUGAGAGGGUGAUCGGCCACACUGGGACUGAGACACGGCCCAGACUCCUACGGGAGGCAGCAGUAGGGAAUCUUCGGCAAUGGGGGCAACCCUGACCGAGCAACGCCGCGGGAGUGAAGAAGGUUUUCGGAUCGUAAAGAUCUGUUGUAAGUCAAGAACGGGUGUGAGAGUGGAAAGUUCACACUGUGACGGUAGCUUACCAGAAAGGGACGGCUAACUACGUG
rnacentral:rRNA from 1 species